rnacentral:rRNA from 1 species
GAUGAACGCUGGCGGCGUGCUUAACACAUGCAAGUCGAACGAUGAAGCCCAGCUUGCUGGGUGGAUUAGUGGCGAACGGGUGAGUAACACGUGAGUAACCUGCCCUUAACUCUGGGAUAAGCCUGGUAAACUGGGUCUAAUACCGGAUAGGAGCGUCCACCGCAUGGUGGGUGUUGGAAAGAUUUAUCGGUUUUGGAUGGACUCGCGGCCUAUCAGCUUGUUGGUGAGGUAAUGGCUCACCAAGGCGACGACGGGUAGCCGGCCUGAGAGGGUGACCGGCCACACUGGGACUGAGAAACGGCCCAGACUCCUACGGGAGGCAGCAGUGGGGAAUAUUGCACAAUGGGCGCAAGCCUGAUGCAGCGACGCCGCGUGAGGGAUGACGGCCUUCGGGUUGUAAACCUCUUUCAGUAGGGAAGAAGCGAAAGUGACGGUACCUGCAGAAGAAGCACCGGCUAACUACGUG